rnacentral:rRNA from 1 species
AGUCGAGCGAGCUUGCCUAGAUGAUUUUAGUGCUUGCACUAAAUGAAACUAGAUACAAGCGAGCGGCGGACGGGUGAGUAACACGUGGGUAACCUGCCCAAGAGACUGGGAUAACACCUGGAAACAGAUGCUAAUGCCGGAUAACAACACUAGACGCAUGUCUAGAGUUUGAAAGAUGGUUCUGCUAUCACUCUUGGAUGGACCUGCGGUGCAUUAGCUAGUUGGUAAGGUAACGGCUUACCAAGGCAAUGAUGCAUAGCCGAGUUGAGAGACUGAUCGGCCACAUUGGGACUGAGACACGGCCCAAACUCCUACGGGAGGCAGCAGUAGGGAAUCUUCCACAAUGGACGAAAGUCUGAUGGAGCAACGCCGCGUGAGUGAAGAAGGGUUUCGGCUCGUAAAGCUCUGUUGGUAGUGAAGAAAGAUAGAGGUAGUAACUGGCCUUUAUUUGACGGUAAUUACUUAGAAAGUCACGGCUAACUACGUGCCAGCAGCCGCGGUAAUACGUAGGUGGCAAGCGUUGUCCGGAUUUAUUGGGCGUAAAGCGAGUGCAGGCGGUUCAAUAAGUCUGAUGUGAAAGCCUUCGGCUCAACCGGAGAAUUGCAUCAGAAACUGUUGAACUUGAGUGCAGAAGAGGAGAGUGGAACUCCAUGUGUAGCGGUGGAAUGCGUAGAUAUAUGGAAGAACACCAGUGGCGAAGGCGGCUCUCUGGUCUGCAACUGACGCU